UAGCAAUGAUGACUGACUUUUUGGCUGAACAUCCAUGUGGCUAUUUGAGCUUUUUAACCCUGAGCAAG
ensembl:snoRNA SNORD36 Small nucleolar RNA SNORD36